CCCAGAAUUCGUUGUGUUACUGUGAGAGGAGGAGGAACCACAGAGCUUGAAUUGUCACUUUUUAUGUUCUCUGUUUAAUAUUUCAGACCAUUAA